rnacentral:rRNA from 1 species
GAUGAACGCUGGCGGCGUGCUUAACACAUGCAAGUCGAACGGUGAAGGCGGAGCUUGCUCUGCUGGAUCAGUGGCGAACGGGUGAGUAACACGUGAGCAAUCUGCCCCUGACUCUGGGAUAAGCGCUGGAAACGGCGUCUAAUACUGGAUACGAGCUGCGAAGGCAUCUUCAGCAGCUGGAAAGAAUUUCGGUCAGGGAUGAGCUCGCGGCCUAUCAGCUUGUUGGUGAGGUAAUGGCUCACCAAGGCGUCGACGGGUAGCCGGCCUGAGAGGGUGACCGGCCACACUGGGACUGAGACACGGCCCAGACUCCUACGGGAGGCAGCAGUGGGGAAUAUUGCACAAUGGGCGAAAGCCUGAUGCAGCAACGCCGCGUGAGGAACGACGGCCUUCGGGUUGUAAACCUCUUUUAGCAGGGAAGAAGCGAAAGUGACGGUACCUGCAGAAAAAGCGCCGGCUAACUACGUG